GAAAUGCGAUAAGUAAUGUGAAUUGCAGAAUUCAGUGAAUCAUCGAAUCUUUGAACGCACAUUGCGCCCGCUAGUAUUCUAGCGGGCAUGCCUGUUCGAGCGUCAUUUCAACCCUCAAGCCCUGCUUGGUGUUGGGGUCCUACGGCUGCCGUAGGCCCUGAAAACUAGUGGCGGGCUCGCUAUAACUCCGAGCGUAGUAGUAACAUAUCUCGCUAGGGAGGUGUCGCGGGUUCCGGCCGUGAAAGCCCCAUCUUUUACACAAGGUUGACCUCGGAUCAGGUAGGAAUACCCGCUGAACUUAA
rnacentral:misc_RNA from 1 species